rnacentral:lncRNA from 1 species
CAAAGACAUAGCCAACUUAUCAGCCGAUAGCCCUCUCUCAAUCCAUGCCUUUAAAACCUGAUCGGUACUUUUAGCAAAGCCGCCGCUACUUGAGCCAUGGAGAGCCGCAGGUGGCGCAGUGAAGUUUGUUGACAAAGGCUCGUAGUAGUGUUCAGUAGCAACAUGAACCCAAUUCAAGUUUCGUUGCAUCGAAUUCACAAGGUACGAAUUGUCUGGUGGUGAAUAAUGAAACCUUGCGGUCAGGAUCAGCUGGGAUUGCUGGCGGUUAGAGCUUUUUGCCUCUAAUUUUGUGGCAGCAGCUCGCCACUCGUCGAAAAGUAAACCAAUAUUGAGCAUAUCGGUGCUUGUGUUAGGAGAUGUCCAAGCAAAGUCUAGGCCCUUAAAGCCAUAAAGCCUAGCUAUUCUUAUUGAAGAGUCGAUGAAAGAUUUCCUGUGAGAAGAAUUUCUCACCAUUGAAGAAUAUAUAGAAUAGUUUGUAUUUCUUCCUUGUCCAAUGGAGAGAAGUGCAGUGAUUGAUGGGUUCUUUUGUUUCAUUUGUUUCACAGUGCCUGUAAAUUUGGGGAAUAUUUGAUUUCCAUCAAAUGGUGAUGAUAAAGAUAGCUGGUAUGUGGUGGAAUUGAUAUCAGCAGAAGAGCAAAUAAGGUGAGUGAAGAGAUCAUAAUUUAUGCCCGAAAUGGCGGAAACAUCGCCUGAAUACAAGUAACCGACCCUGAUCCACGGUUUUGCUUUCGCGGGAUGAAAUUCUGAAUAGAAAAACAUGUGGAAGAUGAUGCUGAUAAUUAUGGAUGCCAUUUGAGAGGCUUAAGCUUCUUAAUUAUUACCACUUCGAAGGGAAUGGAAAUGAAUGCACACUAAGAGAAAUUAAAUAAACACAAGUUUCACAGUUCAUUAAGUUCUUAUGUGUACUAUUAACGUAUAGGUUCAUUUCGUUGCCCAAAAAAAAUCUUAUGUACUCCUGAUAGGGACACACACAUUGCAUGUUAAGAUGAUGAUAGGCGAUGCGACCAUUGCCUAAGAACUAAGAUUUUCUUCUAUCGCCUGGGUGACUUUUCAUGAAGAAAAAUAAUGUUUUGAUUGACAUUUGGUUAAACUGAUGACAUAUUUCGGGCUACAAAUAUCAGUAUUGUUUUAUUAAAUAAUAAAAAUAAUAAUUUUACGUGCAUGUUGAAGGUUAUAUUGCAGUCUUUUGAGCCUGUGUUGAAUUUCAUUCGUGUGCGUUCAUUUAUUAUCCAUCCCCUUUUUUCUCUGAGUCUGCUAGCCGUAGUCAUCUUAAAAGGAUAACAUGUUUAAUGCGUGUAAAUGCACCUCAUAAGUAGUUAAGAAAGAUUUGACCAAACCAGAUAAUUUUCCUCUUAACACAGAAGUAGUUAUCGGACUAAUUAAGAUUCUAAUCCAUUUAAGAAAUAUUCAAAAAGGGUUAUUGUCACUACUUUAGUCCUUGUUGUUUUAUUAAAGAAAAAAAAAAGAUAUUUAAAGAAGCAUCACAUAAAUCCUUCCUAAUUACAUUUUGUUUCAUUCAAGUUCUUGACUUAAUUUGACUGCUUGGAAAAAUUAGUAAAAAGGUAAAAAUGAAAAAAAAAAUGUAAAUUCCAGUUAUUAGACUAAAUAUAUAUAAAUUUGCAACAAGUAGCAAAAGUUUAGAAUAUGAAAAACCCUAUUUUGUUUACGAAAUAAAGGAAAUUCGAAUCAUUUUCAAAAAAAAAAUCUCUAAAAGUUUGAAAACUAAGAUUUUAAGGUCCUUCUAGACUAACCAUAAAUAACAUGAAUUUACCAAAUUAAGCAAACUCGAAUUAUUAUUACACAAUAAAAUUUUACUAAUGGAAAUAAGAAAACAAAAUAAAUAACACUCAAAUUCGAUGUCUAAAAAACAAAGAUAAAAAUCAUGAGAGCAAUAGAAAAAAAAUAAAAUAAACUAAAACUUGCAAAAUGACCAUGAAAGAAAUAAAUUUUUUUGCUGAACCAAGGGGCCGAUACAUAUAGCCUUAUUGUACUAGAUUCAUCUCACUGCAAGUUUCAAAACAAUAUAUUAUAUGUCUUAAACAAACUCUUGUAAAUUAAGUUAUGACCUUAAAAAAUAUCCUACUCAUCUUACAUAAAUAUCCUAUGUCACUAUAUAGCUAUACAAUAAUAAUAUAAUCCAAACACUUAUGGAGCAUAACUCACGCACCUCCAUUAAUAACCGUGAAAUUUACUCACAUUUUAUAAGAGAGAGGAAUGUUCUCAUUUAUUGGGGAUUAAACCAAAUAGUCUAUCUUCGAUAUUUCUGCUAGGUUGUGUCAGGUUGGGCUUUUUAGAAUUUCUUUGACGAAAAGUCAUUCUCUUCAACAGCCAAAUCUUGGGCCAGUGGGCAAUUAUGAAAGUCCAUUGGAUGCAUUGGACCAAACUAAACGUACAAUUUUUUUUUUCUUACAAAAAAAAAAUUAGAGUUGGACUAUUGACACCCCUCUCAUCUCCUCAUAAAACCCCCUUUUUAGUUAUAUUUAUUUUAUUUUAGAAAAUGCCCUUUUUUAGAUACACGUUUCUAAGUUUUUAAUUUUCAUUUGAUUUGUUUUAUUGUUAAAACUCAAAGUAUUAUUGUGUUAUUUUUUAAUUAUUUUCAAUUUUAUUAUUAAUCUACAUACAAAUUAAAAAUUUAUAUGGGUGAUAAGUUUUUUAGUGUUAAUCAUUGGUUGAAAUAACACAUAUUUCAAAUUAUAAUUUCAAAGCAAUUUUAAGUAUAAAAAUAUUUAAUCAAUAAGAAAUCAAAAGAGAAUAAUAGAUUAUUCUAAAUUUGUACAAUUUAUUUUAGUUAAAUAGGAAGUAAAAUAUAAAUUUUUUUAAAAAAUGAUUGAUUAUGAAUUAAGUAAUUUGCUGGGAAAAAAAAUCUAUAUAUGUUUAAUUUUCAAUUGUCUUUAAUUGUAAUUUUAUUUAAAGUGGUGUUUUGUAAGAAUAAUGUAGGGGUGCCAAUAGCUCCACUCAAAAAAUUAUAUCUAUAUAUUCUCUUCAACAACCUAAAACUGGGCCAAUGGGCAAUUAUGAAGUCCAUUGGAUGUAUUGCACCAAACUAAAAGUCCAAUUUUUUUUAUUACUACAAUAUAUAUAUAUAUAUAUAGUAGUUUUCUAAUUAGGGAUUCCUGACUUUAAUAAAGUCAUGGAUCAGCUAAAAGACAAAUAUACAGUGCAUUGGAGUCUGUGUUUAUUUUGUCUUUUAGCUAAUUCCUGAUUUUAUUAAAGUCAGGGAUCCCUGAUUGGAAAACUACUAUAUAUAUAUAUAAACAAAUGUUUUAAUUUAGAAUUUUAAAGUGCGGGAUAGUAUAUAUAUAUAUAUAUAUAAACAAAUGUUUUAAUUUAGAAUUUUAAAGUGCGGGAUAGUCUGGAAUAUGCAGUUUUAAAAACUUAAAACUGUAAGCCUUUAAAACCAUACAAUUUUAAAUUUUUCUCAAAUUUUCUCGUACUUUAAAAUUUCAUACUAAAAAACUACUACAUAUAUCAAUAAAUGAAAUGACACAAUACAGUUGGCUUGCCGUUGCAAAGCCUCUUUGUUUGUUAUUAUUUAUUGGCUUAUUGCAAUAAAGACUAAAGAGAGCUUUGAGCCAUGCAGCAUGGGAAGCUACAUUAAAAAAUAAAAGAAUUUAAAGCUUCAAGGGCAUAAAGCGUGCCCACCCAAUUAAAUUUUUCUUUAAAAAAGAAAAAAAAAGGCUGCAAUUGCAAUGACUUGAAUUUAUCAUCAAUUCUGGCUUAAUUUGCCCCCGUCAUUUUUUCAAGGAGAAUGUCCAACUCAAUUGUGACGGCUACUGCUUCAAUUUUAAUUUUAUUUUUCUCAAGAAUAGUCAUUUUCAUCCACCAUAUUCCUGCAUCCUGAUGCGUCCUUAUUGCUUAUAUUAUUAUAGACCACUUUUGGAAGCAUAACAAAUUUUGCACACAUGGUAUCCAUCUUGCGGACCCAAAUGUUGAUGAUAUACUUGCAUGCUGCAAAAUAAGCCCUUUUAAUAACUUAUCAUCUGGUAAAUGAUAGUUUAUUUAUUUAUUACAUAACAAAUAUGUUAUGCCAUAUGCCACCUAUUAGUGAAAGAUGUUUAAAUAACUACUCUUGUAGUAAACUCCUGAAUGAUGGCAAGUUAGAUUUAUACUUAAUGCACUAACUUCGAUAUUAUUUUUUUUUUACAUGGUAAUUAUUUUCUUCUCGCUAGGAAGUUGCAAUGAUUGAUAAUAAGGGAGCAUUUUGCUUUAUAUACAAUCCUUAAUAGAAGAUUUUCUAGAGAUGUUUAUUAUUAUUAUUAUUAUUAUUAAUCCCGCGUUGGUCAGGAUUUGAUUACUAUAAUAUUGACGAUUCGAUUUCUAACAAUUUUGUUUAUUAUAAAAUUAAAACAAAUGAGUAGUCAUCUAGAAAAUCAUAAUCUCUUUAAAGGCAUCAAAAGGCAAUGGCAAUGUAAAGUGAAUGUGCAUGAAUCUAUUAGUAACAUGUUUGCACGUGUAUUAAUCUUAAAAUAGUCAGUCUUGAAUAUUCCUGGAGGUAUAAAAGCCCUUGAGUUAUCCCUUCAAUGAUAUGAACACGUUUUUUCCAAUCCAAAAUAAGUCUUCUGAUGGGAUCUACAACAAAUAUAUAGUUUUGGACAAUAAGUGAUAUGCAAAUGAAUUUUAUACACAAUUAAUAUUAACUUGAUUUCAGAACAAACCAAAAAGGUAGCAAUCCAAGCUUUUGUUUGGCAUGUAUUCGUAGACCAGCAUCCGUUCCUCACUGUCAAUGCAAAAACCUAAAACUCUAAUAAGAUUUACAUGUUGGAGUUUUGCAGUAAGAAUAACCUCAUUCUUAAACUCCUCAAAUCCCUGUGCGGAUGAUUUCGAAAGUUUCUUCACUGCUAUCACCACUCCACAGGGUAAUACACCCUGCAACCCAAAAAAAAAACCACGUUCAUAUAAAGCUUUCACUAAUUAGAGACGCUGAGAAAUGUUAGCCAAACAAUAUGCUACCCCCCAAAGUUGAGGGCACCAUUUUAAGUCCUUUAAGUCCCCAUGGACGCAAAAUGUAAAUCUCCUCUCACAGAAUAUGGAUAUGGGUAGAGGUAUCUUCCUCAAAUGUUAGUCGAAGUAGUUAUAUCCCUCUAGUGUGAGGUUAGAGGUCUCAUCUCUAAUAGGCAUAGAGUUUUAAAUUAUAUGUUUUGGGCCUCUGAAUUCUACGACGAGUGUACAAAUUCAAACUUCCGAUAGGAUCCAAAUUGCAACAUUGUGGAUUGUAACAAAUUAAAAUAUAGGUACACACACACACACAUGUUACCUUGUAAACAGGACCAUAUCCACCCUCCCCAAGGUUAUUUCUAAUUGAAAAUCCCUCGGUGGCCGCCUCAAUAUCAGCCAAACUAUAUACUCUGAGAUUAGGAACAUUUCUGUUAAAGUCUCCAGCUUCUGUUUCAUUAUUUUCUCUCGUGUUUGAUGCUUUAGCAGAAUCCUCUGUUCCUAACAUCAACCAAGAGUAAAUAUUAGAUAAUUAAUUGUAUGUCAGCCUAAGUUUUAUAUAUAUAUGAAAUGCAUGCUUAAUUAUAAUUGGUAGCUGAAGCUUGUUACCUUCUAUUAACUUGAGCCUUUUCAUCUGGUUGUAUUUAUAUGCACAACAACUUAGAAGGAGAGUCAAAGCUGCCGCUGCAGUCGAAAUGAGUACCAAGGACAGAUGGCGGUUAUUACUAUGUUCAUCUUUGUCAGCUGAAGCAGAAGUAAUGCUGUCUUUUUGUGCAGGAAAUAUGUAUAGUUCACCAAUUAAUAAUAACUAGCUAGAGAUGCCAUAAAAAUCAAUAUUUAUUGGAGAGAACAAUUAUUGCAUAUAUAAAUACCUGCAGCUUGAGAAAGCACCCAAUUAUGAUCAUCACAAUCAACUCGCCACACAUAGUAACCAAGCAAUCUCUUCUCUUUGGCAUAGGCAAUCUUAGUUCUAACAGCCUCCACGUCAUCAAAGCCAAACCAAAUCGUCCGAAUCGAGCAGUAAUUCACCUCAUAAGUUGAAUUGUACAUAACUUGGACAUCAGGACCAUAGUCCUUGAUGUGAUUCUUGAUUUCCUUAUAAGUCGCAAGGCCGCUAUCAUACAAAGCUGGUCCUGUUGCUGCUGCACCAAUACCAUUGUCUUCAGGUUUCACAAGCCUCCAUGCAUAGCCAUAGAAAGGCAAACACAUAACCAACUUAUCUGCCGAUAAUCCUCUCUCAAUCCAUGCCUUUAAAACCUGAUCGGUACAUCUAGCAAAGCCGCCGCUACUUGAGCCAUAGAGAGCCGCAGGUGGCGCCGUGAAGUUUGUUGACAUAGGCUCGCAGUAGCUAGCAGUAACCGCAUGAACCCAAUUCAAGUUUCGUUGUAUCGAAUUCAAAAGAUAUGAAUUCGCUGGUGGUGAAUAACGAAAUCUUGCGGUCAAAAUCAGCGGGGAUUGCUGGCGACUAGAGUUUUUUGCCUCUAAUUUUGU